GCACGUGCUCCUGUGCAGUCCAUCCGGAAGGAGCUAGAGCCCCAUCUCUGCGAUGCUCCUCACAGCGCACACCAGAGCUUUACCGUGUCACCGAAGACUCCGCUCCGGCAUCUGGAGCGAGGCAGACUGUGUCGGCUCCACGGGAAUAGCCUUGGCUGCACGUCUAGCUUCCCACCACAGGAGGACAAAGACCAGAAAAACUUGCUGGACACCAGGAAUCAGACCAGAAAGAAAUUGUCCUAAAGACAUCUGAUUGCACACCCGCAGUCCAUCUGCAUUCUAAGCCCACUAACUCGGCCUCCAGACCCACUGAUGACAAGAGCUUCCCGCCAGUGACUACAUAUAUGGACGAAACUCCAGCUUCUGGAUGCUGCCAUCAUCUACCCAAUGUCUCCUGGUGGGGCAGCCCUUCCCUUCGGAUACUCCACGCCCCAUCCCCUUUCCUUAAAUAAAUUCAGUUUUCUUUCAA